rfam:Picea glauca, whole genome shotgun sequence.
UCAUGUAGCCAGAUCUAUUGAAUGGAUCCAACACCUCCAACAGACUGUGGUUAAGCGCGUUGGGGCUAGAGUAGUACUAGGAUGGGUGACUGAUUAGGAAGUCCUAGUUUUUUACAUGGC